GAUGAAGAACGUAGCAAAAUGCGAUAAGUAAUGUGAAUUGCAGAAUUCAGUGAAUCAUCGAAUCUUUGAACGCACAUUGCGCCCGCCAGUAUUCUGGCGGGCAUGCCUGUUCGAGCGUCAUUUCAACCCUCAAGCCCUCGGGUUUGGUGUUGGGGAUCGGCGAGCCUUUCUGGCAAGCCGGCCCCGAAAUCUAGUGGCGGUCUCGCUGCAGCCUCCAUUGCGUAGUAGUAAAACCCUCGCAACUGGAACGCGGGGCGGCCAAGCCGUUAAACCCCCAACUUCUGAAUGUUGACCUCGGAUCAGGUAGGAAUACCCGCUGAACUUAAGCAUAUCAAUAAGCGGAGGA
rnacentral:misc_RNA from 1 species